GCUUUGUGAGUUUUCCUUGUUUCAGAUUUAGUCUAGCACUGCUCAGGGUGAACUAGUACAAUGCGUGGUGGUACUAGGUUCUCCAUGGACACAGGCAUAAAUGAAACUUGGUUUCUGCUCUUAAGUAAAGCC
ensembl:miRNA